GAAAAUUGACAAGCAUCACACCCAUGGAAAUCGAUACUAAGAUUAGGAAUCAAAAUUUAUAAAGUAUGAUGAGAAGGGUGACCAACUCUAGCAUGCCACAACUUGCUACUGAAAUACUUAGCCACCAAGGCUUUAUUUUCUUGAUCGAGAAUAUAUAAUCUAUUUGAAAUUUUCCCUUCACCAAUCUUCCUCCCCAUGGUCCGAUCCUGAAAGACAACAUUGUAAGGAGAGAAAAGAACAUUGCAGUUUAGAUAUUUGGUUAUCUUGCUUACGGAUAACAAAUUUGAAGGAAAUGAUGGUAGAAACAGUACUUCAGAAUCAUGAGAGUUAGAGACAAUUUUAGAUUUUCCAAAACCAUGAACAAGAAUAAUUGACCCAUUGGUUAAGCACUUAAGAUUACCAGUCAAAUGAAAAGUAGCCCCUGAAUCAAUAACCAAAUAAUGAAUAUUUGAAUGAGAAUAAAAAGAGUAAGGUGAGGAAUUGCCUGUUUCCUGGGGAGAGUCAUGUGUUGAGAUAUUGCCACUCUUACCAUACUGUUGGAAAAAAUGAGCAAUUUUCUCCAAAGUAAUUUGUGAAUCAGUUAUGGAUGCUUGGGAGCCAGUUCUUUCACCUCCUAUAUCCUUUGACGGUCUUAAGUAGGGAUGUAAAAGCCAACAUCAGUCUUUUGUAUGACCAAGAGCUUUACAAUGAUCGCAUUUAAAGGUGGUCCUUCCUCUAUUUCGAUGCCCUCUACUAUGUCCACGAAAACCAUCUCCUCCUCUUGUUUUGUUAUUAGUAGACUUCUUGUUUUCAAAUUUCUCAUUAUUUGCAACAAGGGCAGACUUCUCAAUUACCUCAGUAUUAUUUUUUUCAUGAUUUGUCACUUUCUUCCUAGUUUCCUCUCUUAAGAUAGUAGAGUAAACACUUGCGAAACUAGGGAUUUCAGGUGACAACAAUAUUUGACUUCUUAAGCUCUCAUAUUUAGGUUUUAAAGUAGCAAGAAACUGAAAAACUUGGUCUCGUUCAACACGUUUUUGGAUGACGGCCAAGCAAUAGUGGCAGGAGUAUAAGUGGCCAACUCAUCCCACAGUGGUUUGAGACUGAGCUACUGACUUUUCCUGUUUAACCUGAGAUAUUUAUUGCUUCAAUUGAUAUAUGCGAGCUCUAUUAUAUUGAUUACCAUCUACAAACUUAAUAGAUUCCCAUAAUUGUAUAGUUGUGUCUGAGUGGGUGAAUAUUUCAGCGAUUGCAGGUUGCAUAGAAAGCAAAAUCCAAGACAAAACCAUUUGAUCAUUGGCUUGCCAAUCUUCAAAUGUAGGAUCAUUAGACUUAGGCACCUUUGUCUUUCCAGUGACAUGCCCAAACUUAUAUUUUCCACCCAAGGCCAAAGAUACAGCCCUUGACCAGGCAAUAUAAUUGAGUCCAUUGAGCGGGAUAGUAGUUAGUUUAAUACUAGCAUUGGACUCAAAAUCAUGUGUGGAAGAUUUAGAUUUACUAUCCUUAUCAACCAUAAGAAAAAAAUGAUCUAAGUGAAGAUGACAAAGGCGACGAUUAAAAAAGAAAUUCCAAGAAAUAACAAAGAAUAACACCUCCACCAAAACUAAAUCUCAGAUUAAAAAACUGAUGAACACAACCACCAAUUCUGCAAGGAAAACGCAACCCAAAAAAUAAACUCAUGGAAAGGGAGUGAAAGUCAAUUUAGUAAAAGAAGCCAAGGACUUUACCCCCAACAUUCUUUCACAGCAGAUGUUGUCAACACGAUGAAGCCAAACUUUCUUGAGGGAAGAGCUCUCAAAACUUUCACAUCAAAGAUGAGUUGCAGAGCCUUAUCAGCUUGAAAUUCACUGAGAAGAACGUUGCUCAGAACGCAGCAAAUCUCCGAGUAGCACCAACAAAUCUCUACAAAUAAGAAAAAAAUAUCCGCCCAAUAUCUGUUCCCUGGAUCACAGAAUGAAGAUGAACAAAACGAUGCGAACUGCUGUCAAAAAAAGAAUGGAAAAUCUGCAAAACUAUAACAAGCCGCAACCAAAAAAAAAAAAUCUAUGAAAUUGUAGAGGUUAAUAACAUAGUUUCUUCCAAUUGAUCUUCUAGCAAAAAUACAUCAAGAGAUAUCCGGCUCUUGCAUCACCAGGUCAAAGAAAUUGCAACGAUAAUGAUAGAUCACAACAGAGAGCUUGCACAGAACCGUGCUAGACCUUCUGCAAAAGUUUCGACAAAAUAUUGCAACUGGAUGAAGGCCAAUGAAGAAAAAACGAUGAGCAAUGGAUCGCUACCGC
rnacentral:lncRNA from 1 species